UACGGAGGGGGCGAGCGUUAUUCGGAAUUAUUGGGCGUAAAGGGCGCGUAGGCGGCUUGAUGUGUCAACGGUGAAAUCCCUCGGCUCAACUGAGGAACUGCCUUUGAAACUGUCUGGCUUGAGGCCGGGAGAGGGUAGCGGAAUUCCCAGUGUAGCGGUGAAAUGCGUAGAUACUGGGAGGAACACCGGUGGCGAAGGCGGCUACCUGGACCGGAACUGACGCUGAGGCGCGAAAGCGUGGGUAGCAAACAGG
rnacentral:rRNA from 1 species